UACAGAGGGGGCAAGCGUUGUUCGGAAUUACUGGGCGUAAAGGGCUCGUAGGCGGCCAACUAAGUCGGACGUGAAAUCCCCUGGCGUCAACCCAGGACUGCCGUCCGAUACUGGUUGGUCUUGGAAUCCGGGAGGAGGGAUGUGGAAUUCCAGGUGUAGCGGUGAAAAUGCGUUGAGAUCGGAAGGAACGCCCGUGGCGGAAAGACGAGUCCUGGACGCCUACUGACGCUGAGACGCGAAAAGCCAGGGGAGGCCGAACGGG
rnacentral:rRNA from 1 species